rnacentral:rRNA from 1 species
AAUCAACGCUGGCGGCGUGCCUAAUACAUGCAAGUCGAACGCGAAAGUCCCGCAAGGGAUGAGUAGAGUGGCAAACGGGUGAGUAACGCGUGGGCGACCUACCUUCGAGUGGGGGAUAACCUUCCGAAAGGAGGGCUAAUACCGCAUGACAUCCCGUGUUUGGAUACACGGACAUCAAAGUCGGGGAUCGCAAGACCUGACGCUUGGAGAGGGGCCCGCGUCCGAUUAGCUAGUUGGUGAGGUAAUGGCUCACCAAGGCUUCGAUCGGUAUCCGGCCUGAGAGGGCGGACGGACACACUGGGACUGAGACACGGCCCAGACUCCUACGGGAGGCAGCAGUAGGGAAUUGUUCGCAAUGGGCGCAAGCCUGACGACGCAACGCCGCGUGGAGGAUGAAGACCUUCGGGUCGUAAACUCCCUUCGACCGAGAUGAAUACCUGCCGACUUAAUACGUCGGCAGGCUGACAGUAUCGAGGGAAGAAGCCCCGGCUAACUCCGUGC